GACGAACGCUGGCGGCGUGCUUAACACAUGCAAGUCGAACGGAAAGGCCCUGCUUUUGUGGGGUGCUCGAGUGGCGAACGGGUGAGUAGCACGUGAGUAACCUGCCCUUGACUUUGGGAUAACUUCAGGAAACUGGGGCUAAUACCGGAUAGGAGCUCCUGCUGCAUGGUGGGGGUUGGAAAGUUUCGGCGGUUGGGGAUGGACUCGCGGCUUAUCAGCUUGUUGGUGGGGUAGUGGCUUACCAAGGCUUUGACGGGUAGCCGGCCUGAGAGGGUGACCGGCCACAUUGGGACUGAGCUACGGCCCAGACCCCGACGGGAGGCAGGAGUGGAGAAUAGUGCACAAUGGGCGGAAGCCGGAUGCGGCAAAGCCGCGCGGGGGAUGCCGGCCUUCGGGUUGUAACCCGCUUUCGCCUGUGACGAAGCGUGAGUGACGGUAAUGGGUAAAGAAGCACCGGCUAACUACGUG
rnacentral:rRNA from 1 species